rnacentral:misc_RNA from 1 species
AAAUAUCUGUUGCUUUGGNGGGUCGCGAGCCCUCGCCCUGUGUACCCGCCAGAGGACCAAUAAACUCUGUGUUAGUCUCUGAUUACUAUAUAAUAGUUAAAACUUUCAACAACGGAUCUCUUGGUUCUGGCAUCAUGAAGAACGCAGCGAAUGCGAUAAGUAAUGUGAAUUGCAUAAUUCAUUGAAUCAUCUAAUCUUUGAACGCACAUUGCGCCCCUUGGUAUUCCGGGGGUCAUGCCUGUCAGCGUCUUAUAACCAAUCCAGUUUGCUGGGUCUUGGGCUUCGCCCCCUGGCGGGCCUUUAAAACAGUGGCGGUUCUCUCCAUCUCUACUCGUAUAUUUUCCUCGCGAUUGGUUCUGGAGGGAUGCUUGCUAUACCCCCAUUUUCAGG